AUACGGAGGGUGCAAGCGUUAAUCGGAAUUACUGGGCGUAAAGCGCGUGUAGGCGGCUACUUAAGUCAGAUGUGAAAUCCCCGGGCUCAACCUGGGAACUGCAUCUGAUACUGGGUAGCUAGAGUUUAGGAGAGGGAAGUAGAAUUUCAGGUGUAGCGGUGAAAUGCAUAGAGAUCUGAAGGAAUACCAGUGGCGAAGGCGGCUUCCUGGCCUAAAACUGACGCUGAGGUGCGAAAGCGUGGGUAGCAAACGGGAUUAGAAACCCCGGUAGUCC
rnacentral:rRNA from 1 species